GACGAACGCUGGCGGCGUGCUUAACACAUGCAAGUCGAACGGUGAUGCUCCAGCUUGCUGGAGUGGAUCAGUGGCGAACGGGUGAGUAACACGUGAGCAACCUGCCCCAGACUCUGGAAUAAGCGCUGGAAACGGCGUCUAAUACUGGAUACGAAACUGGCCCGCAUGGGCAUGGUUUGGAAAGUUUUUCGGUUUGGGAUGGGCUCGCGGCCUAUCAGCUUGUUGGUGAGGUAAUGGCUCACCAAGGCGACGACGGGUAGCCGGCCUGAGAGGGCGACCGGCCACACUGGGAAUGAGACACGGCCCAGACUCCUACGGGAGGCAGCAGUGGGGAAUAUUGCACAAUGGGCGAAAGCCUGAUGCAGCGACGCCGCGUGAGGGAUGACGGCCUUCGGGUUGUAAACCUCUUUCAGCAGGGAAGAAGCGAAAGUGACGGUACCUGCAGAAGAAGCACCGGCUAACUACGUG
rnacentral:rRNA from 1 species